UUUUAAAAUGCAAUUACAAUGCUGACUAUACAUAACCAAUUGUUAUUAAAAAAAAGAUGUGGUUAACUUUGAAUACAUAUAUGCUUCUAAUUUCUAUUAGUAUAUACCAAAUACGUAAACAGUCCCAGUGUUUUCUUGGUCAAACAUGUCAUAAUAAGUGACCAUGCGAACGAUAUAUCUGUAUCAGCUAUGCAUGAACAUUUCCUUUAAGACAAUCAGAUAUUGUAUUAGUCGUCCUAAUGAGGGGAAGGGUGUCAAAUCAUGUGGACUUUUCUGGAUUAUCAUGAAAAUAUCGAGAACUAACAUGGA
rnacentral:lncRNA from 1 species